AGCCGUAAUCGCCCAUGAGGCGGCCCAUAUCACCAAUGGGCAUCUGUCGCGGCGGAUGCAGAACAUGCGUUCGGCCCGCUCUGCAGCUG
rnacentral:tRNA from 1 species